rnacentral:rRNA from 1 species
UACGUAGGCAGCGAGCGUUGUUCGGAGUUACUGGGCGUAAAGGGUGUGUAGGCGGUUCUUUAAGUUUGGUGUGAAAUCUCCCGGCUCAACCGGGAGGGUGCGCCGAAUACUGAGGGACUUCGAGUGCGGGAGAGGAAAGUGGAAUUCCUGGUGUAGCGGUGGAAUGCGCAGAUAUCAGGAAGAACACCCGUGGCGAAGGCGGCUCUCUGGAACGCAACUGACGCUGAGACGCGAAAGCGUGGGGAGCAAACAGG